CCUACGGGUGGCAGCAGUGAGGAAUAUUGGUCAAUGGGCGAGAGCCUGAACCAGCCAAGUCGCGUGAAGGAUGACGGCCCUACGGGUUGUAAACUUCUUUUGUCAGGGAGCAAUUGAGUCCACGUGUGGUCUUAGCGAGAGUCCCUGCAGAAAAAGCAUCGGCUAACUCCGUGCCAGCAGCCGCGGUAAUACGGAGGAUGCGAGCGUUAUCCGGAUUUAUUGGGUUUAAGGGGUGCGAAGGCGGAAUAUCAAGUCAGCGGUAAAAAUUCGGGGCUCACACCCGGCGUGCCGUUGAAACUGGUGUUCUUGAGUGGGCGAGAAGUAUGCGGAAUGCGUGGUGUAGCGGUGAAAUGCUUAGAGAUCAUACAGAACACCGAUUGCGAAGGCAGCUUACCAAUCUAUAUCUGACGUUGAGGCACGAAAGCGUGGGGAGCAAACAGGAUUAGAUACCCCAGUAGUC
rnacentral:rRNA from 1 species